UUUCUUUUGUCAAAGCCUGUUGUUGUGCUUCACCCGGACCUGCUCAUCUCUGAUCUUAUCCUUGGGGAUGUGCAUGAAACCAAAUGCAUCGCUUCCGGCACUCCCUUUCAUCUGCGUGAUAAUGAUUUUUGCCUCAUCACUUCAAGAAGUGUCUGUGGGUGGAAACAGUGAGUGAUAUAUUCAUAUAAUGAGGCUCUAAAUGACUACAAAAGACUUUACAUCGCUGUGAAUCAUCCAUCUGCAGUGCUGCAUUAUUCAGAAAUUAAUGCAACCCUAUAAAUGAAUAAUGAUUUAAAUGUACUUUUAAAAAUUGUUAAUGCUCCAGCAUUUUUUUCCUUCUCUACAUAAUCAAAAAAUUGAUUAUGACAACGACUAGACCUAUGUUCUUCACUGAAGUUAUGCAAUGGUAACGUAAAACAAGUCUUGUGACAACAGCGAGGAUGGAAAGAGUUGCAGGAGACUAACGCUGGGUUUGUAAUCUUCAGAAUUCCCUAGCCAAAUCCAGUCAAAUUCAGAGGAUAUUACCACAAAAAAUCCUCCUAAAAGACUGCGGGCUCUAAAGAAAAUUGAAUUAUUACUUAAGUUAAUGAAAACGAUCCAAAAUAGAUGAGGAUAUAUGUCAAAUAUCUCAGAAUAAUAUGACCAUGGAAAACGUUUUGCUUGCUUAUUUGUUUUUUCCUAUUAUCUUUUUCAUAACCAAGUGAUGAAGGGAAUCAUAAAACAAGGAGCCUCAUGAGCAGCUGAAGUAACACGAACUAAUUUCAUAAGCAUUUGUCUGAGGAUGAUCUCUCAUGUAGGUUACGUGAUAAACAAAACAGGGUGGAAGGUUUUCAUCUCUUGCACCUGUGCAGCUGCCACCAGAGGUGAGCACCAGCUCGCUCCUCUGGACGCAGCCACUUCUGCAGACCUGGGAGUUUUGACAUUUGUGGACUUGAAGGACGGAAACAGAAGAUUCAGUCAGGAAGAUUUGUUUGCCUUUUGGAGGAGGUACCGCUGGGGUAAAGCCACACUACGGAAAUUGGGAGUUUUGUCGUCUUCUUUCGAUGCCCUUCAUACAUUUGGCAGCUGUUCUGCAUCAUCCUCAAGACAUCACAGCCAUUGUAAAGUGCAUCUAGCAAUGAAAAGUCUUCUGCCAUCUAACACCAAGCAACCCUUCCUUUCCAGGCCUGUAUGCAUGAAGUCGCAUGCACGCACGCAGCCUCGAGACUAAGAAUGAAACAAAUCUUGUUUUAUGAUGCCAAGGCUGAGAAUAAUAUUUCACACUGAAAUAUUUUAAGAGUUCAAGGGUUGGAAAAAUCUUAACAACACGAGGAUGGAACUGGAGUAAGCAAAACUCAGGAAAUGCUCAUGAAAUCCUAUCACUUGAAAGCUGCCUACAAAAAGCACACAGAAGCAUUUCUGAGAAAAUUUUCUAUUUGCACAGAAACAUUAACUGGAUGAUCUACUGUGUUUGUUUUUUUUAUUAUUAUUCAUUUGUUGUGUUUUUUUUUCUAUAAUGUAUUUUUAAUUAUAUUUUCUGUAUCCAUAUUCAUCACGACAACACCAUCUGUCAUUCUGAUAAUGAAAAUAAAUAAACUAACGUUGAAUUCUAAGACUGCA
rnacentral:lncRNA from 1 species